GAUGAAGAACGUAGCGAAAUGCGAUAAGUAAUGUGAAUUGCAGAAUUCAGUGAAUCAUCGAAUCUUUGAACGCAUCUUGCGCUCCUUGGUAUUCCUUGGAGCAUGCCUGUUUGAGUAUCAUGAGCAAAUCUCAAAGUCAAUUCCUUUUGUUGAUUCAAUUGGUUUUGCUUUGGACUUGGAGGCCUUGCAGAUUUCACAGUCUGCUCCUCUUAAAUGCAUUAGCUGGAUCUCAGUAAUUAUGCUUGGUGCCACUCGGCGUGAUAAGUAUCACUCGCUGAGGACACUGUUAAAAAGGUGGCCAGGAAAAUACUGAUUGAACCGCUUCUAACGGUCUAUUAAGUUAGACAAUUACCCUUAAGUUUGAUCUCAAAUCAGGUAGGACUACCCGCUGAACUUAAGCAUAUCAAUAAGCGGAGGA
rnacentral:misc_RNA from 1 species